rnacentral:rRNA from 1 species
UCGAAACCUGCACAGCAGAACGACCCGCGAACCUGUUUACCAACCUCCGAGGGGCAGGGCGAGCCCUGUUUCCCUCGGAGCCCGAACGCGCCUCCUCGCUAGCCCCGUCAAACGGGCGGCGGGAUGGCGUGCGACGGCAAGUACCCAAACACCGGCGCGGGUUGCGCCAAGGACUAUGAAAUUCUACCGCGUCCGGCGGCCCCGGGCGACCGGGUGCCGUCGCGAGGACGUGUCGAAAGAUCUAUAACAAAACGACUCUCGGCAACGGAUAUCUCGGCUCUCGCAUCGAUGAAGAACGUAGCGAAAUGCGAUACUUGGUGUGAAUUGCAGAAUCCCGUGAACCAUCGAGUCUUUGAACGCAAGUUGCGCCCGAAGCCAUCCGGCCGAGGGCACGUCUGCCUGGGCGUCACGCAUCGCGUCGCCCCUUUCUCCCUCAUCNAUUGACGUCGAGCGAAGAGAGGGGCGGACCAUGGCCCCCCGUGCGCCCUUGCGUGCGGCCGGCCUAAAUAUCGAGCCCCGUGGACGUGAGUACCGCGACGUUUGGUGGUUGAUUUUUGAGCAUCGUGUCGCGCGUCGGAUCGUCCCCGGAGGUCUUGCAGGACCCUUAGGCGCAGCAGCAGCCUACCCUUGCGACCCC